UGGGGAAUAUUGGACAAUGGUGGGAACCCUGAUCCAGCCAUGCCGCGUGUGUGAAGAAGGCCUUAUGGUUGUAAAGCACUUUAAGCGAGGAGGAGGGUACUGGUAUUAAUACUACCAGGUACUGGACGUUACUCGCAGAAUAAGCACCGGCUAACUCUGUGCCAGCAGCCGCGGUAAUACAGAGGGUGCGAGCGUUAAUCGGAUUUACUGGGCGUAAAGCGUGCGUAGGCGGCUAAUUGAGUCGGAUGUGAAAUCCCCGAGCUUAACUUGGGAAUUGCAUUCGAUACUGGUUAGCUAGAGUGUGGGAGAGGAUGGUAGAAUUCCAGGUGUAGCGGUGAAAUGCGUAGAGAUCUGGAGGAAUACCGAUGGCGAAGGCAUCCAUCUGGCCUAAUACUGACGCUGAGGUACGAAAGCAUGGGGAGCAAACAGG
rnacentral:rRNA from 1 species